CAUUACACACAUCUAAUGGAGCAAAGUCUCUCCCUCUCAUCAUAAUGCUCCUCCCAGAUGGUUUGAUCAUCUGUAUUUUAUUAUUUAUGAAUAAAAGAACUAAUUUGGAUGUGAUUAACAUAGGUUGACAUUAUUUUUAAUCAUUUCAUCCGUGCCUCUCACAAUUAAACUAAUAAACUUAAUGUCUCUUGCUUAAAGUACAACUACUCUCACUUCCAAGUCCCAGUUACAGUUUGUCAAUACCCUGUGUCCCCUACACUGUCCCUGUAGGUGAAAGAGCCUUGACCACACUGCCCCCUGGGGAGAGCCUCCCUGACCCCAACCAGAUUGAAUAUGAUAAUGUAUGGGGAGGAGCCUCUGCAGUUGAGGAAGGAUCUUUCACAUAGUUAUUCUUCAAAUGAGCUUUAUUUUUAUAGCAGCAUCUACCAGAUCAUCAUUGCUAUUCACAUUUUUAUGAUAUCUAAUAUUUUUGGUUGAGGUUUUUUUGUUAUAUUAUUUUUUACAAUAAAUGCAAUUAGUUUUUUUGUCAUUAAAACAUUUUAUACAUUAUAACGUGAUUAGGUCACAGUGGUUGUCCACCUGCAAAAAAUAUUUAAAAAAAUUUGACCCCUAUUGAAUUUUCUGAUUGUGUAUGUUAUGUUAAUUAUAUUUUUAAAUUAAAAUGCAAAAUUUGAAAUUAAAUUAUGAUUUAAAAAUGUUAAGAAAUGGUUGAUAGAACUGCUCCCAGAACUGUGGGAAUUUUAAUAUAAAAUGUUCCAAAAUUUCCCAGUAUGUUAAAUACAGGCACUCCUCUACUUACGAACUUUCAACUUACGAACUUUCAGACAUACGAACGAAGAGGACUGUAAGUCCAAAUUGUGUUUGUUGGACUUCCGUUUCCUGUCGCAAAAUACAAUUUUGUUCUCCGCGCCAAUUCCGGGUAGUACAACUUCUGGCUGCUUCUCUCGCCGCACAGCAGCGUUACGCAGCAGCAUGGCCCAGCAUCCCAGCUCUUUAUACUUGUGUGUACCCUUAAAAUUAUGUUGAAUAACGAAUUACAAACAUUUCAAUUUACGAACGGCCAUUCGGAAUGUAACUUGUUCGUAAGUAGAGGAGCGUCUGUAUGUUCAUUUCUUAUUUAAAAUUCAUCCACCAUCCACCCAUCUCCAUAACCACUUGUGCAGUACAGGGUUGUGGUGCCUAGAGCCUUUCCCAAGAAACACUGGGCACAAGGGAAAGGACACCCAGGACAGAGUUGUCUCUGUAUCUGCCUGUUAGAGCAUCACUCUCCUGCUCGGUCUCUGGCUUGGUGUUCCCACCAUUUUCUAACCCAUGGUUCAAACUCCCCACAAUAAUCAAAUGCAUGACAAAUAUGAGGUAUCAAUUUCAUAUCAUUAAGGUUUUCAUAUUAUAUCCAAAAUAAUUUAUCCUUUAUGAAAACAGGGAAUAAAUCUAACUGUACAUUUUGGAGUAUUUUUAACACAUAUUUUGCAAUUAGUAAUCAUUCAAGAUUUUUAUUUGUCGUAUUCAUGAAUGUAAUGGUACAUCAUCCAUGAAAUGAAAUGAUGUUCUAUUAUGUAUUUUUGUUUUUUCUCAGAAUACUUAUAUAGAUGACACUUACUAUACAUGAGAAUUACUUUCAUAAUAAACAUUUGAACUGCAGUUUCCUCUUUGUUCCGUGUUGACUCUUGCACGGAGAUAGGAGGGUAAGGGUAUGGAGAAACCCUCAUGAGUCUAUGAGUCAAUCACCCCAUGUGUCAGCACUGCUGGCUGGGGGUGGUGGUGUGAUGGUGUCGGGCAUAUUCAUGGCACACAUUGGGCUCCCUGAUAAAAGUGCAGCAUGGCUUGAAUGCUACAGAAUAUCUGAAUAUCAUCACCAAUCAGGUGCCUCCUUCAUGGCAUCAUGGACGUUAAGCCUAAAACAGUGAUAAUACCCAGUCAGUCCUAGGAAGGCCAGCACCUGGUUUUUGGUGAUGGAAAAAGGGCUUCACAGCCUCAGACUUCUUUUUCUUAGGCUAGAGUAGUACCCUUCAGAUCGAGAUGCUCUGUGUGCUGUGCCAUUCUUCGAUCACUCCCAGUCACCCCAUCUUUUCAGAGGAACUUAAUACUUAGUAAUAAACAAAUGAGUCACAGGGACCUCCCCCAGAACCCUGGUUAAGGAGACAUAUGUCGACAUUUGCAUCUCCUGCAUCUCACAUCCUCCACCAGUGUGAUGUGCAAGGAGGCACAGGGGGCAUAAAGAGCCAGGCUAGUUAGGAAAAAAAGGAAAAAAUAAAGGGGGCGACAUGGUAAUACUGUGGUUAGCACAGUUACCACUGAAUACAAAGGUUUGAGUCUCUGCUCUGAGUCUGUGUGCGUGUGGAGUUUGCAUGUUCUCCCCAUGUUGUCAUGGGGUUUCUUCCAAUUUCUCCCGGAGGCUAAAAACAUGCUGAAUUGAACUGAGAUGGCAAAAUUGUCCAAAGGUGCGUGUAAGUGUCCUGCAAGAGCUUGGUCCGCGAUCCUUAGUAAUGAAAAUGGCUGGAUGGAGAAAAAUUACAAAAGGGGGCAGAGAGGUGGCAGUAGUCCAUUUAGGGCAGCCGUCCUCAAAGGUUUCCACAGGCAGCCCAUGCAUCUACAGCUGGCUCUCUGUUUUCAUCUUCCAGCACCUUCUGCCCUGUGUAGACUUCCAGCUUCAAUGGGGAAGAUAGUCCUGGCCCGUAAUUGGGGCAACUGUCAUCCAUCAGCAGCUGGUGGCCCUUAGUGUGGUUGAUCAUGAGGAAACCACAGCUCAAAGUAGAUUUUUUUUAUCUCAAGAGGUUUGACUGUUAAGAGAUUGAGUGCUCACUAACAUCAUCGCUGCUGUCUCUGUAUAUAUAGAGAAAAUAAGAACAUCAGUCUUCUGAUUUGUCACUCCACCUACUUGGUGUUUUCCAGAACUUCCUUUGAUAGGACAGUUCUGUGUGUGAUUGAUGGGUGGGGGCGUGUCCUCUCUGAGGGGCAGGAUGAUACAAAGCCCCACUCAAACUGAGAGCUCAGAGGUGAAUACUGUCAUGGUGGGUUUGCUCUGAGGAGAGUUGGUUUGUCCUGAUGAAGAUGGAGGUCUGCGUGUUCAUCACUGAUCCCAGCUCCUGCUCACAACGGCCAGUAAGUGCCAUGCUCUACAUCCAGUGGUCCUUUGGCAACCAGAGGGUUGUGGGGGUUCAGAGCCUAUCCCGGAAGCUACGGGUACAAGGCAGGGAAUAACCCAGGACAGGGAAUUUGGAAUCUCCAGUCAACCUUAGCAUGUUUUUGAACUGUGGGGGGAAUCCAGAGGACAAUACAGGGAGAGCAUGCAGACUCCACACAUGGAGCUGGGGUGGAGACUCGAAUCCUGGUGAGGCAACACUGCUAACGUCUACACCACUGCACCACCCUAGAAGGAAGGAUUUCCUUCUAUUAACAUUUCUUUCUUGGUAUAAUUUAAACAGACUUUGUGCUAAAAGAAUGGUAAUAAAUUUUACUAUGUUGGGGGAGGGCGAGUUGGAGGGCCCCCAGAGUCCCUAGAAUUGCCUCUGAAUGCAAACGUGUAAGGAUAUACGUAACAAGGAGUAGAACUGGAGAUGUUAUACUCAGGUGACAAGAGACACAGGUCACAGUCCCAGGGCAUGUGAGUGAAUCCCCACACAAAAGGACAGAACAAAUACACAGCUUUGACAAACUAAGUCAAUUAUUAAUGUUAAUUAGUUCACUGAAAGAAUAUUACACGAUACACAGUAAAAGUUAUCUGUAACUUCAAAAAGAGACAGAUAAAUGAAAUUACCGUAACAUUUCCUUGUGCCCUUAUGCUGUGUGGAACAGGCCCCAGUCUCCUUAUAUGACCCUAUACUUGACAGGUAGGUAACUGGUGGCUGGAUAUAUCUGAUAUUAACUGUUAUUAAUUGAACUAUUUUGACCACCUAAACAAGGUACCACUGUUAAAUUUGAUUACUUUUAUUAUUUGCCAGUUUACUGUUUCUGUUUGUUUAUGCAUGUCAUGCAUUAUGUUAUGUCGUGUCAUAUAUAUUUUAUUUCUGGUGCUGUCAUUCAGCUAAAACACUCACUUCAAUCUCUGUAAGCUGCGGGGCACAUAAAUCCUGGUUCAGACUCCAUCACGGGGCAGAAGCACAGAAGCACAGGCAUGAAAGCUGAUGUAGAGUUAAUCUAAACUGCAGUGUUUUCAUGAUAAUGUGAGCUCACCGAAGGACCCAGAUCCACACAAACAGAGAACAGGCAGCUUCUCUCCUGGCAGAGCAGGAGCUGCGAGGGGGCAGAACGACCUUUAGAGACUCAUGCUGCUCACACUGACAUCCAGUGGGAUGAAAUAGUAUUGCUUCUUGAAAUUUGUGUACUUCAAUAAACAGCUUAGCAUAUACAAGAAGACAAACAGAUCAAAAUUUGCUGCAAGAUUUAACAGUUGUUUUAAUAACUACUGUAUGUUUCCAUUCCUUACUGGUAUACAUGUCUCAUCUUUCUUUCUGAGGCAUAAACAGCAGAUAAAAAUAGAAGCAUGUGAAUAAAAA